CUACGGCCAUAUCACAUUAAAACACCAGUUUCCGUACGAUCACCGAAGUUAAGCAACCUCAAGCCUGGUCAGUAACUAGAGAAGUGACCGCUUCGGAAUACCAAGCGUUGUAAG